rnacentral:lncRNA from 1 species
GGGUCUGAAAAGACCGUUAUAUACCUAUGGAGGAGGUGGAAAAUUCUAAAGAUUAAAGAUUGCUAAAUUCAAGAAUUGAAAAUUUGUGUUUUCGUUAGUUUUAUUAAAGAUGCUUAUGACACCCCUAGUGAUAUUCUCUGUGUUUCCAGGCUUCUAGAUGAUUGUAUAGACCUUUUGUUUGUUGCCAACACAUAUGUAGACUUUAUGAUGCAUUUAUCUUUGGUGUCUCUGUCAUCGGUGCAAAUCCCACAUUCCGGUGAUAUAUCACCGUCACCGGUGCAUCUAGGGUUUGCUUAUAAGUAUUUCUUGUUUCACACACAAUUUUAACUUUUGGGUUAUCUUUCCUUAGAAGUGUAUGUUUUUUAGGGUUUUAACUUGUUCUUAUUUAGCAAAGCUUGGAACUUUAUUAUACAAAUUCACGGGCUAAAUCAAUGAAGAUGAUGAUGAUGAUGUUCUUAUUAUUAUUUUGGGUUCAAUCAUCAAAUCGAUUGGUGUGUUGGAUCUGAAAUUUGUUGAGAAACAUCACUGGCAUUGUAGAUCUGGGUUUUGGGACCUAUAAUUUGAUAUCAGAUAUUAAUGUUCUUGGUUGUUUAAAAUUUUAGGGCUUUUGAAAAAGUUUCAUAGUUUUUACAAUUUCUAAGAUCUAGAUCUGAUUAUGAUGGAUUGGUUGUUGUUUCUUACUUAAAACACUUACAAAUUUGAUUUGGAAGCUUCCUAUUAAUUCAACUGAUGAGUUGAUUGUAUUUAUGGAUUGUUUUGUGUGAUUUUGGUGUUGAAUAGUUAAAAGGGGUUGUUUCAGCAAGAUCAACGACACCGGUUCUCGAAUAUGGUGACACUGACGGUUAUUGAUUUUAAAUUGAAGAAGGUGAUGGUGUGACAUUAUCCGUUUGGUUGAACUUUCUUGUGUGGUUUUUCCAGCGAAAUUCUCUCUGUGUCUUGUGAAUUUUUUGGACACACAUCGCUUUCACACACAUCGGCUAAUGCUAGUUUGCGACUUGAUCUGUUGGUCAGGGUUUCCUCGAGGCACUACUAGCGACCCUCAAGCUUUAAGCCGUAAUCUGUUUGGCAUCGCAUAUCAGUGUUCACUAAUUCUGUUUGAGCGACACAGAACCAGCAACACUUAAGCUUCUGACGACACUAUUGCAUAUUCUCUUAAAAUCCCUUCAAAAUCUUCAAAUUGCUCAAAGUGAUCUUGAACUUAUUCCCACAUCUAGACUACCUACACUGAAGUCUAGUGAUGAGUUUGUUAAAUAGAAAGGAAAAAUGGAAAAAUAAAAUUACUUCACUAAUGCAUCUUUUAUCUAGACUUAACAAAAGUUAAUGUUUGAUAUGUUACAAAAUAUACAUGAAAUGUAUUUUCCUCUACGAUUUUAGCAGGUUUGCGUAUGGUUUAUUGAAAAUUCAAGAACUAAUUGGCGAUUUACGAUUUUUUUAGAUAAGUCUAGUGAAAGGAGAUAAAAAGGUAUGGAAAUAUGAAUUCGAAACCAAGAAUGAAGUUUAGAAGCGAAAGCUGAAAUAAUUUCUGAUGUUUGGAUCUGUAACAGAUUGUUAUGGAUCCAUAACAAUCUGUUAUCACUAUUAGUUAAAAGUCAAAGCCCUUCAAGAUGGUCCAUGUUCUAGAGAUUCAUGACGGAUCAUCACAUCUUACGCUGGUUAGGAAAACCCUAAAAUUCACUAUUUAAGGCGUUUUGACGGCCAAUUUUGGGAAAAUUCGACUAGAGACAAUUACUUUCAAUGGAGAUUGAAGAUUUAAAGUAGGAACUGAGAUUUGGAAGGCUUGGAUUAUAGAUCAGAGAGUUAAAAGGUUUUUCUAUGAUUGGCUUAUCAUUCUUACACCUUUUGUAUUCGAUUUCUGAGAUUGUUUUCAUAAUGUUUUUGACUUUUAAUAAGUUUCUUAUGUUUCUAAACAUCAUGAGUAGAUAACUCAUUAGCCUACCUUGGUUUGGAUGAAUGUUGUAUGAGUUGAUUGCUUUCUGG